rnacentral:rRNA from 1 species
AACGAACGCUGGCGGCAUGCCUAACACAUGCAAGUCGAACGAAGCCUUCGGGCUUAGUGGCGCACGGGUGCGUAACGCGUGGGAAUCUGCCCUUGGGUUCGGAAUAACAGUUAGAAAUGACUGCUAAUACCGGAUGAUGUCUUCGGACCAAAAAUUUAUCGCCCAAGGAUGAGCCCGCGUAGGAUUAGGUAGUUGGUGGGGUAAUGGCCCACCAAGCCGACGAUCCUUAGCUGGUCUGAGAGGAUGAUCAGCCACACUGGGACUGAGACACGGCCCAGACUCCUACGGGAGGCAGCAGUGGGGAAUAUUGGACAAUGGGCGAAAGCCUGAUCCAGCAAUGCCGCGUGAGUGAUGAAGGCCUUAGGGUUGUAGAGCUCUUUUACCAGGGAUGAUAAUGACAGUACCUGGAGAAUAAGCUCCGGCUAACUCCGUGCCAGCCGCCGCGGUAA